rnacentral:rRNA from 1 species
GACGAACGCUGGCGGCGUGCUUAAUACAUGCAAGUAGAACGCUGAAGAGAGGAGUUUUCUCUUCUUGGAUGAGGUGCGAACGGGUGAGUAACGCGUAGGUAACCUGUCUCUUAGCGGUGGAUAACUAUUGGAAACGAUAGCUAAUACCGCAUAACAUUGGCUGACACAUGUCAUUUAUUUGAAAGGUGCAAUUGCUCCACUACACGAUGGAUCUGCGUUGUAUUAGCUAGUAAUUGAGGUAAAGGCUCACCUAGGCGACGAUACCUAGCCGACCUGAGAGGGUGGGCGGCCACACUGGGACUGAGACACGGCCCAGACUCCUUCGGGAGGCAGCAGUAGGGAAUCGUCGGCAAUGGGGGCAAACCUGACCGAGCAACGCCGCGUGAGUGAAGAAGGUUUUCGGGUCGUAAAGCACUGUUGUAAGUCAAGAACGGGUGUGAGGGUGGAAAGUUCACACUGUGACGGUAGCUUACCAGAAAGGGACGGCUAACUACGUG